UCAUUCCAACAACCCUAAGAGAGGGCGGCCCUUCUGGCAUUUGCCCAAAAUCCAGAUGGCCAGUCCGUCACUGUGU